rnacentral:rRNA from 1 species
UACGUAGGCAGCAAGCGUUGUUCGGAGUUACUGGGCGUAAAGAGUGCGUAGGUGGUGCCCUAAGUCUGUUGUGAAAUCUCCCGGCUUAACUGGGAGGGUGCGGUGGAAACUGGGGUGCUUGAGUGUCGGAGAGGUAAGCGGAAUUCCUGGUGUAGCGGUGAAAUGCGUAGAUAUCAGGAGGAACACCGGUGGUGUAGACGGCUUACUGGACCACGACUGACACUGAGGCACGAAAGCGUGGGUAGCAAACAGG